UACAGAGGGGGCAAGCGUUAUUCGGAAUUAUUGGGCGUAAAGGGCGCGUAGGCGGCUUGGCAAGUGGAAGGUGAAAUCCCUCGGCUUAACCGAGGAACUGCCCUCCAAACUGCUUGGCUUGAGACCGGGAGAGGUAAGCGGAAUUCCUGGUGUAGCGGUGAAAUGCGUAGAUAUCAGGAGGAACACCUGUGGUGUAGACAGCUUACUGGACCACUUCUGACGCUGAGACACGAAAGCGUGGGUAGCAAACAGG
rnacentral:rRNA from 1 species